rnacentral:lncRNA from 1 species
UGUAAAAUUGACGUUGAUAAGUUGUUUAUUAUGCACUAUACAUUGUGAUCAAAACACACGUGUCUAGAUUUAAUCCUUGAACAAAUACACAAAGGACGUACAUAUCCAGCCGACAUUUUUGUUACGGUUGUAAACACAAUCCCAAAGUUAACUGUUCCGCAUGGCUUUACAUUUCACGCUGAGCCGUGUUUCAAUUUCGUAAAUAACUGUUUUAUAUCACGAUUAUGACAUAUUGGGUGCAAGAAUGUCGGUUAAAGACACAGAUAUCGAUUAGUAAAUACAACGAAGUAUCCAGUUCUAUUUAUACUGACAGAAAAACGUCAUUGGAAAGAUUGGCUGAACGGGAGAUCUCUUUAAAUAAUUGCUAUUACGCAGUAUAUUACACGCGAUUAAAUUACACUUAUAUUUAUGUAUAUGGACUAUCAGAUAUUAAAAACGUAGAUUAUCACUGUACGAAUUAUGAUGUAACAAAUCAUAAACGGUAUUUAAACCUGAUUGUAGUAUAUUUUUGUUGUUACUGUACGCA